ACUCCUACGGGAGGCAGCAGUGGGGAAUAUUGCACAAUGGGGAAACCCUGAUGCAGCCAUGCCGCGUGUGUGAAGAAGGCCUUCGGUUGUAAGCACUUUCAGUAGGGAGGAAGGUAGUGUAGUUAACACCUGCAUUAUUUGACGUUACCUACAGAAGAAGCACCGGCUAACUCCGUGCCAGCAGCCGCGGUAAUACGGAGGGGUGCGAGCGUUAAUCGGAAUUACUGGGCGUAAAGCGCAUGCAGGCGGCCUGUUAAGUCAGAUGUGAAAGCCCGGGGGCUUAACCUCGGAAUUGCAUUUGAAACUGGCAGGCUAGAGUCUUGUAGAGGGGGUAGAAUUUCAGGUGUAGCGGUGAAAUGCGUAGAGAUCUGAAGGAAUACCAGUGGCGAAGGCGGCCCCUGGACAAAGACUGACGCUCAGAUGCGAAAGCGUGGGGAGCAAACAGGAUUAGAUACCCUGGUAGACUGUCA
rnacentral:rRNA from 1 species